AUUUCCUGUCAGGUUCCUCCCAUGGCAGAAGGUUCUUAGCGAGGUGCCAGACUAACACCACCACCUAUUUUGGGCAGCAAUCACAAAGGUGACAAAGGCAAUUACUUCAAUUCAUUUUUGUGUGAACCACUGCUGUACUCUACAAAGAAAAACAAGUGGAAUACAACAACACAAUGACUCUCGGUUUAGUGCCAGAAGAUGGGUCCCUCAUGUCCUUCACUCAUCUCGAGUACAGGUUGCAUGUAUGGCAUGGCUAGGCCACAGACUAUUAAAUGCCUAGUUUCUGAGGUUAACAAGCAAAGAUAAUUCAAAGCUGCUCAAAUAAAAUUACAAUUGGACCUUGGAAUGUUUCAAGUAUGAAUCAUAGCAAGCUGGAAAUCAUGAACAUGGAAGUGGAAUGUCUACACAUCAGCAUCAUUGGGAUCAUAUACUGAAAUGGACAGGAUUAGAACACUUUCAAUUAGAAGAAUACACUAUCUACAAAAUCACUUAGAUCAUAACCAAGGAAAAGAAGAAAUGGACUGGCUUUUAUCAUCAACAAACUGUUGAUGCUUAUGGGAGGCUGGGACUUAGGGAAAUAAUGUUGAACAACACUGCCUUGGAGAACGACUAAUAAACUUUUGUGCCCAAAAACAUCCUGUUAAGUAAUGUGUGUUUGCCCGGUGAUGGACUGGCGACCUGUCAUGGGUGUUUCCUACCUUUUGCCCAGUGAAUCGGAACCACUGCAACUCUGAAGAGGAUAAAGCGGUGGUAAAACAGACAAUGAAUGAAUUAUACAUAGGAGUUUUGGAGACGUCUGGAGUAGAGUAUUAUUAAUAAUAAUACUGUAAUAAAAUAAUAAUAAUAGAA